GGAAAAUCUAGCAAAGAAGAAACAGCGGGAGAGUAGAGCGAAUCGGAACUGGGGAGGAAUGAGGAAGGAGAGCUUCAGUUUUAAAAAGGGUGGUUUGGAAAUGGAUGCUCUGAGAGAUGAAGUUGUUUGCAGUGGCCAACCGGGUCGACAGGAUUUCAGAGUUCGUGGUCUGUUUGCCCUAUUCAGCAGGCUCCUGCAGCCCUCCUGGCCAGGACAGUGUGCACAUGACUCAAAAUGUCUGCUUUGGACAUAUUUCAGCCUCUGGUGUCUGGGCAGUCGGGGAUUUAUGGGCCAGCCAUCUCCCACGAUGAUCUCGGUGGUGCUGAACUGUGUGUCACCCCCAGCUGGCACUGUGGCUGCCCUCCCAGUGGGGAGGCCUCCUGCAGCCUGGGCCACAUCUGGAGCCUCGCCCAGUGUGGAGAAACUGAGGCCCACAGAGACAUGGGGCCAUGCCAGCUAGUGGAGGCAUAGCCAAUGGAGCUGGGCUCUCCAGGGCUGUGCUAACAGAGCCACAGCUCUCCCACCCCAGCUUGCAUGUGGAGCCCACUAAGGCCCGAAGGGGCUGGCCUGCCCAAGUUCACGGCUCUGCCGCAAGCUUGCUGCAGAUCACCAUCUCCUCCAUUCCUGGCCCCAACUCCCCUUGCAUAUGGAGCAAGGAAAGAUCUUUUGAAUGCUGAACGGGCCUGAGACACCUUCCUGAAGGAAAGCUGUCCUUGGAUCCAGGCAUUGUGACCUUGUUACUUCAUUUGGCCUUCAUGACCACCUGUCUAGGGCCUUCAUCAACCUCUUUUACAGAUGAGCCCUCUUGGAUGAUAAGUAAAUGGCAGCAUUUGGAUGUGACCCUGGUCUCUCUGAGCUUAGCUCUGGACUCCCCUCCCUCGUGCCCCUCUCAAACAAGCAAGAAGAAGGCAGGAGAGUAAGUUCUAAUCCUGGCUGUGCCACUGACUCCCUAUGUGGUCACAAUGAAGUCUUUUCCCUCUCAGCACCUCUGUUGCUAUACCUGCACAACGAGGAGCUUUGCUUGGCCAGGAAGAGGGCACAAUAGGUACAGAGUGCAGGUAUUUCUGGGCCCAUAGACAAGGAAGGGUGGGAGGAGGGGAGCAAUGGUGGACCCUCUUGGUUGACAAAUCUAAACAAUAAUAUGGAGCCUGAGAAAGCCAAAUACCAGCUCCC
rnacentral:lncRNA from 1 species